AUACGGAGGGUCCAAGCGUUAUCCGGAUUCAUUGGGGUUAAAGGGUCCGCAGGCGGGAAAAUAAGUCAGUGGUGAAAGCCUACAGCUCAACUGUAGAACUGCCAUUGAUACUGUUUUUCUUGAGUAUAGAUGAAGUGGGCGGAAUAUAUCACGUAGAGGUGAAAUGCAUAGAUAUGAUAUAGAACACCGAUUGCGAAGGCAGCUCACUAAACUAUUACUGACGCUCAGGGACGAAAGCGUGGGGAGCGAACAGGAUUAGAAACCCCAGUAGUCC
rnacentral:rRNA from 1 species